UACGGGGGGGGGCAAGCGUUGUUCGGAAUUACUGGGCGUAAAGGGCUCGUAGGCGGCCAACUAAGUCGGAUGUGAAAAUCCCCCAGCUUAACCUGGGAACUGCAUCCGAUACUGGAUGGCUUGAAUCCGGGAGAGGGAUGCAGAAUCCAGGUGUAGCGGUGAAAUGCGUAGAUAUCUGGAGGAAUACCGGUGCGAAGGGCGGCAUCCUGGACCGGCAUUGACGCUGAGUGAGCGAAAGCCAGGGGAGCAAACGGG
rnacentral:rRNA from 1 species